rnacentral:rRNA from 1 species
AUUAAACGCUGGCGGCAUGCCUUACACAUGCAAGUCGAACGGCAGCACGGGGGCAACCCUGGUGGCGAGUGGCGGACGGGUGAGUAAAGCAUCGGAACGUAUCCUGGAGUGGGGGAUAACGUAGCGAAAGUUACGCUAAUACCGCAUAUUCUGUGAGCAGGAAAGCAGGGGAUCGCAAGACCUUGCGCUCUGGGAGCGGCCGAUGUCGGAUUAGCUAGUUGGUGGGGUAAAGGCCUACCAAGGCGACGAUCCGUAGCGGGUCUGAGAGGAUGAUCCGCCACACUGGGACUGAGACACGGCCCAGACUCCUACGGGAGGCAGCAGUGGGGAAUUUUGGACAAUGGGCGCAAGCCUGAUCCAGCCAUGCCGCGUGAGUGAAG